UUUAGGAAAAUUAUUGGGGAAAAAACAUCAAAAGGUUUUUCAAAAAGUUUAGAGUUAAAGGCAUAAGCAAAUCCUCAGUGCGCUGUGGAUACGGGCAAAAAUAAAAUUAUAAAGGAGUUAUCGAAAUUCCUAGUGAAGCGGGGGAACGCGUAGAUAUUAGGAAGAACACCAAUAGGCGAAGGCAGCUAACUGGUUAUAUAUUGACACUAAGGGAAGAAAGCGUGGGGAGCACACAGG
rnacentral:rRNA from 1 species